UACGAAGGGGGCUAGCGUUGCUCGGAUUGACUGGGCGUAAAGGGCGCGUAGGCGGUUCGUACAGUCAGACGUGAAAUUCCUGGGCUCAACCUGGGGGCUGCGUUUGAUACGUGCGGACUUGAGUGCGGAAGAGGGUCGUGGAAUUCCCAGUGUAGAGGUGAAAUUCGUAGAUAUUGGGAAGAACACCGGUGGCGAAGGCGGCGACCUGGUCCGGUACUGACGCUGAGGUGCGAAAGCGUGGGGAGCAAACAGG
rnacentral:rRNA from 1 species